rnacentral:rRNA from 1 species
GACGAACGCUGGCGGCGUGCUUAACACAUGCAAGUCGAACGAUGAAGCUAGAGCUUGCUCUGGUGAAUUAGUGGCGAACGGGUGAGUAACACGUGAGUAACCUGCCCCGAACUCUGGGAUAACUGCUGGAAACGGUAGCUAAUACUGGAUACGACCUACGAAGGCAUCUUCUGUAGGUGGAAAGAAUUUCGGUUCGGGAUGGACUCGCGGCCUAUCAGCUUGUUGGUGAGGUAAUAGCUCACCAAGGCGACGCCGGGUAGCCGGCCUGCGAGGGGGACCGGCCGCACUGGGACUGAGACACGGCCCAGACUCCUACGGGAGGCAGCAGUGGGGAAUAUUGCACAAUGGGCGCAAGCCUGAUGCAGCAACGCCGCGUGAGGGAUGACGGCCUUCGGGUUGUAAACCUCUUUUAGUAGGGAAGAAGCGAAGGUGACGGUACCUGCAGAAAAAGCACCGGCUAACUACGUGCCAGCAGCCGCGGUAA